rnacentral:rRNA from 1 species
CGGACGUCGACCGUCGCACGGGUGAGUAACGCGUAUCCAACCUUCCCGUUACUGCGGGAUAACCUGCCGAAAGGCAGACUAAUACCGCAUGUUCUUCGAUGACGGCAUCAGAUUCGAAGCAAAGAUCCGUCGGUAACGGAGGGGGAUGCGUCUGAUUAGCUAGUUGGCGGGGCGACGGCCCACCAAGGCGACGAUCAGUAGGGGUUCUGAGAGGAAGGUCCCCCACAUUGGAACUGAGACACGGUCCAAACUCCUACGGGAGGCAGCAGCC